UACAGAGGCCUCGAGCGUUAGGCGGAAUCACUGGGCUUAAAGCGUGUGUAGGCGGACCCCCUAAGUGCCUUGUGAAAUCCCACGGCUCACCCCGUGGGAAGCGGCUGGGCGAUACUGGGGGGUCUUGAGCCAACCUAGGGGCUACCGGAACAAAUGGUGGAGCGGUGAAAUGCGUAGAUAUCAUUUGGAACGCCAACGGGAGAAAUCAGGUAGCUGGGGGUGUGCUGACGCGUGAGACACGAAAGCCCAGGGGAGCGAACGGG
rnacentral:rRNA from 1 species